UCUGCACACAGCAGCAGCGGGACAUGCCUGAGACCCAGGCAGACCUCCCAGCACAGCCUUGCCCUUGAUGUACAGAGUCUCGUGUGGAUUAUUUUGAAGACAGAGGAAAAGUUACUUGCAGUCACCCGGAAGGAAGUAGGGAAAGCCCUGGAAGAAGCUUUUGACAUUGGGAAAGCCCCUUGUGCAGAUGCUGCGGUCAUUCAGAUAUUCAAAGAGAAGACAGAGGCUGCCCUGCACAUCAGCGAGAGCCUAAGUGAGAAGGUGGAAGCUGUGUGCCUGGAGGAGUGCC